AUUCAGCUGACGAGUCCCAAAUGGAACGAAGUGCGCGUCUUCAAU
rnacentral:hammerhead_ribozyme from 1 species